ACUCAAAAGAAUCAAAAUCAAGGAGGUCAAAGAAAGACCCUGCCGGAGGAGUCACCUUCUUAAGCAAAGUGCCUUGCUCAUUGACUUCAGGUAAUUCCGAGGGCUUUUGUGAGGAGAAAGAAACACCUGUCACAGGUCAUACGGAGCCCUAAGGAACCACCUCUAAAUUGUCCACUCUCUUGUUGUUUGUGGUUUUCACGAGAAAAAGAAAAAGUGGUGCAAAGAUCUCCAGAAAGAAACAUCCUCAGCCAUUAACUCAGCAGCGGGGGAGGCUGGCUUGUUAUUUAGUGAGUAUCUGCGUGUACAUAUGUGUGCACACAUGUGAACGUGCGUUGUGUAAGAGACAGAGUUCCUCGUGGAAUACUCAGUACCUGGUUACAAAACAAGAAAACACCUGUUAGCUUUUAAAGUGAGAUACAAUCCAGAUUACAUAUUAUCAGGAAACAGUUUAUUUCUUCCAUUGCUCUUUAUAGUGCAGUGCGAAUUACCAUAAGUAAUGUAUUUUCUAAAACAGCUUUAAAUGAAAACAAUACUAUAUUAUGAAAUCUUACAAGCCUAUAAAGGAAAUAAAAAAGAGUACACUAGCUUAGGAAGGACUGUAAGGGCCGCGGAGAGUGAGCCUGGAGUUUCUUCAAACCUUUAAGGCCAGACUCUGGCAGAAAAGACCUUCUUGUUCCAGGAGCCAAUCCAAUCCUGAUUAUACUUUCUAUGUGCAAUUUGUUUAAAAAACCUAAUCAUCCUCUCCUGCUCCAGAUAUAACCUCUCCACCCCAUGUGGUUUAUAUUAUGUAAAUGGAAUCAGAAACGUAAUAGCUCAAAUUUGAUUAUCGCCGCUUGCUGCCCAUGGUAUCAUUCAAAGUGCAGGUUGACACAUGGGCUUCUGGUUUAUGGGACCGCAUGUCAUAAGCAUAUUAGUUAAGGCAGUAACAGCUCCUGCUUGAUUUUACACCAAAAUUGGCAAAAGGCAUAUUUAUAAAAUAUGCUAAGUGCCCUAACAAGUAACUUCCAAAUCUCGGUGGCUUAUGCAAGUUUCCUGUCUGCAUCUCAGAGGUGGGUAGGUUGGCUGGGGGCAGGAAGGGUCCCGCAGUCCCGUCCUUGGGCUCUCCCCGCCCUUCACUGGGUCCUUUGGCUGAUGAGCUAGAGGGCUUUCACUGAAGACCUAAGAGAGGCGCAGAGAGGCCAGCCCGCUGCACCCACGCUGGCGUACUUUUCACUGGGGACACCUGUCACUUGGCCAGUCCUUCCAAGGGGAUUGCAGAAAGCUGUCGCAGCACGUGAUCGGGUCCCAAAGGUGUGUGGUUAAUGGAGCCACUUUCCCUGCAGGCCAAUAAAAUACAGAUUUAUCAGAGAAGUACCUAUUAAAAAUAAUGUUUUAUGUGGCCAGUGUUUUAAGCUUUUACCACAAAACAUUGUCAAAACACAAUGAAUCACGAAGAAUGUGGAAAGUUGACUUCAGAAGUGGAAAAUAAUUUUGAAAACGGCACAUAAAAAACUGUAUUCAAUACCUAAUCUUCCAAUCGUGUAAGUCACAGGGCAGUAGCCAAGUGGCAAGCAAAUGAGAGAUGAAAGGAAAAUGCUUCCUUAUUUCUUUCCCGUCCUUGGUCCCGGCGGUAGAGUUUUCUAGCAAGUCCGCAGAGAUGCUACAGAUAAUCACAGAGCCACCGCGGGAAUUUGGAGUAUUCACAUCGCUACUGAUCGGAGAAUCCUUGAGAGCACACGUGUUGUAACCCAGCCAGACUAUUCCUAAGGGAGAGUUUAUGGAAACUGGUGGUAAGCACAAUUGCCACAAGCCAUGCGGGGCUUGCUAAUGAUUCACAGAGUAGAAUCAGCUCCAUGUAGGAGAAGAAGAACCCAUUGCAUCAUAUGUCUACCCUUAAUAUGAGAUAUUCUAGGUUUCCCAUAUGCAUUGCUUUUUGUCGUUAUUAAAGCACCCUAAAUGUAUUGUCAUCAACAUUAUGUAUCACAGAUGAUGAUAGAUUUUAGUAAAGGAUGAAUUUUUUUUUACAUAUUUCACCACACAAUAAAUCUGAGGACACACAGAAGAGCAAAGUGUGAAAUAGAAUAAAAUAUCACUGAUGAUCCACUUCAUGGACCCAACAGUUAGCGUCUAGGAAUAUAGUUUUUCAAAAUCCUUUUCUCUAUUUUAUUGUUGAUUGCACUAUCUGUUGAGGAUGAUCUUUUGAGCAGUCCAUUCAUUUUAUUAUCUAUUUCCUCUGGUAAAUUUAUUUUAAACAUUGUUCAAAUCAAUUUGAUUUACUUUUAUUUAGUGUAUUACACAAUUCAUUAGUUACUUAUCUUUACACAGAAUAGACCUCUGGCAAAAAGAGGUACUGAGACCUCUAUCCUAAACUCACCAUUUCACAGGUGACUAAAAAAAAAAAAAAAAAAAAAUGAGUCACGUAGAUCCUGAGCUAUAAGGAUCCACAAAUGGCACCUCCCAUUUCCCUAGGCUAUAAAGAGCACCUAAAUGCCUCGAACUCUCCCAAGUUCCCAAGAGCAAAAUGUCUACUGGGCUCUUUUUUUUUUUUUUUCUUAGAAUUGCAUAUUUAGUCGUGUUUCUAGCAAUCACGCUGUGUCAUUUACAAAUGGGGGCUCAUAAAUAUUCCAGCUUGCACUGUCUUGCGUAUGGAGCGUUCACAUUUGAUGGUGUAAUUUCAUUUUGGUUAAGGAAAAUUUUAUGCAUUUGGGAUCCUUUUAGUUCCCAACAUGAUUAAACCUAGUGUUGUAGCUAAAAAGCUCUUAUGGCAAUUUAUCACUUGUUGGCUUAAAGAAACUUUCAUUACUUUAUUCCGUGACAUCGUUUUCUUUCCUGGUUGCACAACAGAUUUUUCACUUAAAGACACUUUUCUCUUCUCACACUCUAUCUCGGUUACUGCCCACGUCCUCUUUCCUUCCAAAUGUUUUGUUACAUUUUCCCUUGCGCCAGAUCCAAGAGAGUACUUCUACGAAGAAAGAGACAGUUUCUCCAUUUCGUAAUUCAGCAAAAUUCCUUAGUCUUCCUUUUGCUAUGCACGUCUUUUACUAAAAUGCAUUAGUAGUUACAAAAGAUAAUCCGCUCACCCACAAACAAUUGUACUCAAAUACAAACAAUUGAAAAUAAUCUUCAUUUCCCAAAGGCCUAGCAUAUACUUUGAUUCAUUUUUGGUGUUUGAAAUUAAUAUUUAACUUAAUGUUUGUGGCUUCUAACCUAGAAGAGUGCUUAUUUUAAUUUAUAAAAAGGAAACUGAGGAUAUUAGGGCUUGUAUAAAUUUCCUAGAGUUCAAAUCUGAUAAAUAGAAGCAAACUUUGCUUCCAGACUUGACUUACUCAAAAUCUUCAACUUAUUACCACCUUGCGAUCUUGCCUGGUCCAGAAUGUCCUGACAGAAGUGUUGUUAGUAGAAAAAAAAAAAAAAGAGGAAAAUCAAUGAUAAAUUUAAG